ensembl:lncRNA
AUAUUUUCAAUAUUAGGCUCACAGGGUGACAGGCGAACACCCUGAACACUCACUGCAGUGCCCUCAGUUUACACUGCAAUAAAAAACUGAGUUUUCAUUUAUUAAAUUUUCCUUCCAGUGACUGGCAGAGCCCCUCCCCACUGAAACAAAGGUUUGAGCUGGACCAGGUGUGCUGCUCUGGUCUGGAUCAAAGCUCGCUUUGACUUCUUUGAUCUAACAGCUGUUUUUAUAAUGCUGGAUGAAGGAGGUCUGUUCACAUUCAUCUGUGUUUAUUUAAUGACUUCACAGCUCAUUUGCAUAUUCACACAUGAAUACACAAAAAGGUGUCAGAGUGUCUCCAGCAGGGGCGGAGCGUGGGGGUGGCUUACGGGGCUUAAGCCCGGGGUCUUUUGGAGUGUAAUUUCUUCAUAGUUAGAUGUCUGGCUGACAACUGUAUAAAACAAAAAGUACACACAAUAUUCGAAGCACAUAGUGCACACUGUGGGAAUUUACGACUGUGUGUGAAUCCCCCCUGAUAUUGGUAUGAUCCGAGCUCAGGCACUAAGCGACUGAGCGAGGGGGCGGGGCAGCUGCUGCCUGUGAGUGCGCUGUUGGAGAAACGGAGCCAGCUUAAGUUUGAGCAGGUACCAAAGCAAAUCAUUCGUACUGUACAAAUAAUGUAAAUAUGACGGUGAAUCACGAAAGAUUGAUAUCAAACUGAUCACUAGACUAAUAUUACGUUACUUGUUCUUCAAGUGAAUCAACAAAUGGUGAAAUGAAAAGCCGAACAACAACAAUGCUGUUUCUUUAGAGAGUCUCAGCUUACAUGUGUUUAUUUCAUAUUUUCAGGUCUUACCCUCCCCGACUAAAUCGGUUUCAAAUUCAAAUUCAAAUUUUAUUUGUCACGUACACAGUCAUACACAGUACGAUAUGUAGUGAAAUGCUUGGACGACUGCUCGUGACCUAAAGAAAACAAAAAAGGAAAAGGCUAUGAAUAAGAUAGGAAAUAAAUAUGAAAAAUUAAAAAGGGUAAAUUUAACUAGGAAGGAAUAAAAUAUAAAUUAAGGUUAAAAAUGAAAUAACUGUACAACACAAAUUAGAAUGAAGGGUAAAUUUAACUGGGAAGAAUAAGAUAAAGAUAAAUAUAUAAAUUAAAGUUGAAAAUAAAAUAACUGUACAACAAAAUACACAAUAUAGAACUAUAUAAGAAUGUAUGAAGAAAUCUAAAUAUAAAUAAAUAUAUACACAAUAACAGCAGCUGUACAAGUAUUAACUGGAAAUGAAGAAUAUAGUGACCAGUGUUGUGCAAAACCAAUGUCCAGAAAGUCCAGUGUGUGUGUAAGAACCAUAUGUGUGGGUCAGUACUGUGUGGUGGUGUGAUUGAGAGACCGUAUCGCCCGCGGGAAGAAGCUCCUCCUCAGUCUCUCUGUGUUGGUCUUCAGGGAGCGGAAUCGCUUUCCUGACCUCAGCAGAGAGAACAGUCUGUUGUUGGGAUGGCUGAGGUCCUUCACCAUCUUCCUGGCCUUGGUCCGGCACCGCCUGCUGUAGAUUGAGUGCAGGUCAGGGAGCUCGGAGCGGAUGGUGCGCUCAGCUGACCGCACAACCCUCUGUAGAGCUCGUCUGUCCUGCAUGGUGCUGUUCCCGAACCAGGUUAAGAUGUUUCCCGUCAGGAUGCUCUCUAUGGUGCACGAGUAAAAGUUCCUGAGCACCUUGGAGGGCAGUUGGAAGUCUCUCAAGCGUCUGAGGUGGUAGAGACGCUGACGGGCCUUUUUCACCACGGUGUUGAUGUGACAGGACCAUGACAGGUCCUGCGUGAUCUGAACUCCGAGGUAUUUGAAGCUGUCCACUCUCUCCACUGGGCACUCGUUGAUGACGGGGGUCUGGUAGUUCCUCUCCUGCUUAGUGCUGAAGUCCACUAUCAGCUCCUUUGUCUUACUGACGUUUAGAAGGAGGUUGUUCCUCUGGCACCAGUUCUCCAGAUUCCUAAUCUCCUUCAGGUAGGCCGUCUCGUUGUUAUCAGAGAUCAGGCCCACCACGACGGUGUCGUCAGCAAACUUGAUGAUGGUGGUGGAGCUGGUAGUGGCCACACAGUCAUAUGUGUACAAAGAGUACAGCAGGGGGCUCAGAACACACCCCUGGGGGGCUCCAGUGCUGAGAGUGGUGGAGGCUGAGACAUGUCCGCCCAUCCUUACUGGCUGUGGUCUGCCAGUUAGGAAGUUGGAGAUCCACUGACACAUAGAUGAGCUGAGUCCCAGAUGCUCCAGCUUGGUGGUGAGUGUGGAGGGAAUUAUGGUAUUAAAUGCAGAGCUGUAGUCUAUGAAGAGCAUUUUAACAUAAUUCCCCCUUCUAGUGUCCAAGUGAGUGAGUGAUGUGUGGAGGAGAUGAGAGAUGGCAUCGUCUGUGGAACGAUUUGGACGGUAAGCGAACUGUAGUGGGUCCAGUGUGUCUGGUAGUGAAGAAAUGAAAUGAUUCAAAUGAUUCAGUUAUGUACUGAAAUAUAAGAAUGGACAUUAGAGGCUUCUUUCAAAGAAAAAACUCAGGUAAAUGUUAUUUUAUAUAUUAUGCUUUGUAUGUUGUUCAGUAUAUUUCUAUGCAAAACAAGAGGAACUUCUAUACACAGCAGGAUAUUCACAGUUUAAACCAGAUAUUUACACUUUAUGGAAAACACAAGAACAGUUUUUACUGUACAACAUCAAUUUAGAGUCAACUUUUGUUUUAGAUAAAUAUUGAAAUAUCUUUUGAAUUAGUUAAAUGUCAGAAUAAAGAGAGACAGAGCUUCUAUUUUUAUCACUUUCAUCAAAUGUAGGAGUACAUGUACACUAAGUUUAUUGUAAAUUAAUAAGAAACUCCAGACGAUUCCAUUCUGAGCUGAAGAAGCUUCUGAUUGGUUCGUAGAGUCCAUGUGAGUAAAUUGGUGGCACAGCUGUGGAUGCAUAUAAGGCAAAACACAGAGCCUGUUUCUGUGACAUGGGAACAUCAGGAGAUGUCAACAAAACACCAGGAAGAGAACUGUGGAGCUCCAUAAGUGUGGCUCAGUUUGAAUACAAUUUGGUGCCAUUUACAAGAAAUACAGACAGUUUCUCUCUUUACUCUUAAAGUUAACAAAUAUGUUUUUAUAUUUAUCUAAAAAAUAAACAUUUAGUCUGAUUUGAUGUUACAAUUAAAAAAGUGUUUUUAUCUGAAGAGUUUGUAAAUAUCUGUAUAACUGUAUAUUUGAUGAUUGUCAGCACAAAGAGGAAGAGAGGGAACAAGAGCAGGUGAGACUCACAUGUUAGUCAAAUGGUUGUUUACCAAAAGUAUCAGCGUAUCACAGGUCCUCAUGUAUCUCGUACCUCGUGUUUCUUUUUAGGUUUGUUAUUUUUCAAAUUCUAUAUUUAUUAAGUUCUGCAGCUUGUUUGCACAACAAGGUUAAAUAAUUAUAUAAACUUUGGUAGAAUUAAAAAAAUAAGUGUAGUGCAGGUCUAUGAUGAUUUUUAGUGCUGCUAUCAUCUAGUUCUGAUUCUGGUUCUGUCUUGGUUAAGUCCUCAGUAGUCCUGAUUUUGGACUGUUGUAGUCCUGCUUUAAUUCCGGAUCAGUUCUGGGUCUGGUUGAAUUGGGGUUUAGGCCUUGUGUCUUGAUACAGCCCUGACUUUGUUCUGCCUCGCUGCUUAAUUAAAAAACUAGUUUAAGGUGUCCUGCACAUGUGAUAUAUAUUUUUCCCUAUAUGAAGUCAUUUUUUUUGAACAAAACUCAAAACAGAGCCUAAUUAAUCUUUCAGUCAUUUCUAACCCCCCCCCCCCCCAAAAAAAAAAAAAAUCCCACAUGCAUACUACCCUUUAGGGCUAAGCCCCGGGUGUUUCAAAUGUCUGGCUCCGCCUCUGGUCUCCAGUAAGGUGUCAGGCAGCCGUUACUGCUCACGGAGUCUCACUGAUGGCCGAGCAUGUCUUUAUCCUGUCUUCCUUCUCUCACCCCAACCAAUCACAGCAGAUGGCCCCGCCCCUCCCUGAGCCUGGUUCUGCCGGAGGUUUCUUCCUGUUAAAAGGGAGUUUUUCCUUCCCACUGUCACCAAAGUGCUGCUCAUAGGGGGUCAUAUGAUUGUUUGCCUGUAUUAUUGUAGGGUCUUUACUGUAUGUUAUAAAGGACUCUGAGGUGACUGUUUGGUGCUAUAUGACUUAAGUUGAAUGAAAUUAUUAGAAACUUUUGUCAUGUUUAAUAUGAACAUCCACCUCAGGAAAAUGACAUGUGUAAUGGGAAAUUUAAAAAAAGCAAACGUCCAUUUUGCAAAACACUUUGCGUUCACAUACAGUUUUCAUUUCAUUUAACAAAUUGACUUUUGUACUGUUCAGGUUUCUAAAGUAUGGUGCCUCAUUUGGUAAAAUUGGAAAGGAACUCUGUUGCACAGCACAUCACCAGGACUGAACUGCCAGCCAUGCAGGAUCUUUAUAGGCAGCGCUGCAUGAGGAAGACGCAGCGGGGCCUCUCUGAUCCCAGCCACCCCAGUCAUAGACUUUUCACACUGCUGCCGUCCAGCAGGCAGUUCAGGAGCAUUCAGACCCGCACUAGCAGACAGAGACAGUUUUCACCCAAAAGCCAUCAGACUGCUGACAUUCCACACUCACUACCAUCACAGGACUCUGCACACUGUCACUUCAACAAAUGCCACUUAAAUGCUCAUUGCACAACUUUUAAGAUAAGAUAAGAUAAGAUAGAACUUUAUUAAUCCCUCG